AUCCAGUUGAUGAGUCCCAAACAGGACGAAACGCGCGUCCUAGAU
rnacentral:hammerhead_ribozyme from 1 species